AAUGAAUAUUCUGAUAUGUGAAAAAAUAUGACUAUACGUCAGUCAGUGCUAAUUCUAUACCGCUUGACAUUUGAAGUUAGCUCAAAUACCUACUGUGGCCGGUCGCCAUUUUAUGUUCUCGUUAAUACGAUGUACAUGCUCUGUCAUUGCUCCGUAGUAAACAUUGAAAAAUAUUGAAUAUUUUUGUGAUUGUGACAAACAUUUGUGUCUAAAACAUAUAGAGUGGUCAAGGACAAAUAGUGGCAUAAUGCCAAAGCGCAGUAUUGUGAGAUGUGGCUCCGGAAAGAAUGAAAACCAGAAAAGUUUGUCUUUGCACCGGUUACCAAGAAGUGAAAAUAGAAAAGGAGAAUGGUUAGAAGCAAUUGAAACUGAAAAUAUCAAGCCAAAUGUAAAGGAUAUAUCAUAGUACAUUUCCCAGAAAGUGCUUUCAAUAGAACAAUGGAUGUGGACCAUGCGAUCGGCAAAAGUUAUCCAGAUUCAUCAAAAUUAACGACUUCAGACGCCAGGCCCUCCGUCGAUUGGUU